rnacentral:rRNA from 1 species
UGGGGAAUAUUGGACAAUGGGCGGAAGCCUGAUCCAGCAACGCCGCGUGAGGGAUGACGGCCUUCGGGUUGUAAACCUCUUUCAUCACCGACGAAGGCAAGGUCUUUUGGUCUUGUUGACGGUAGGUGGAGAAGAAGCACCGGCCAACUACGUGCCAGCAGCCGCGGUAAUACGUAGGGUGCGAGCGUUGUCCGGAAUUAUUGGGCGUAAAGGGCUCGUAGGCGGUUUGUCGCGUCGGGAGUGAAAACCAGGUGCUUAACACUUGGCUUGCUUUCGAUACGGGCAGACUGGAGGUAUGCAGGGGAGAACGGAAUUCCUGGUGUAGCGGUGAAAUGCGCAGAUAUCAGGAGGAACACCGGUGGCGAAGGCGGUUCUCUGGGCAUUACCUGACGCUGAGGAGCGAAAGUGUGGGGAGCGAACAGG